rnacentral:rRNA from 1 species
AGUGAACGCUGGCGGUAGGCCUAACACAUGCAAGUCGAACGGCAGCACAGUAAGAGCUUGCUCUUACGGGUGGCGAGUGGCGGACGGGUGAGGAAUACAUCGGAAUCUACUUUUUCGUGGGGGAUAACGUAGGGAAACUUACGCUAAUACCGCAUACGACCUACGGGUGAAAGCAGGGGAUCUUCGGACCUUGCGCGAUUGAAUGAGCCGAUGUCGGAUUAGCUAGUUGGCGGGGUAAAGGCCCACCAAGGCGACGAUCCGUAGCUGGUCUGAGAGGAUGUUCACCCACCCUGGAACUGGGACACGGCCCAAACUCCUAGGGGGGGCAGGAGGGGGAAAUUUUGGAAAAUGGGCGAAACCCUAACCCAGCCAUCCCGGGGGGGUGAAGAAGGCCUUCGGGUUGUAAAGCCUUUUUGUUGGGAAAAAAAAGCAGCAGGUUAACCCCCCGCUUUUCUGACGGUACCAAAAGAAAAAGCACCGGCUAACCUCUU